UCCUACGGGAGGCAGCAGUGAGGAAUAUUGGUCAAUGGUCGGGAGACUGAACCAGCCAAGCCGCGUGAGGGAUGAAGGUACAGAGUAUCGUAAACCUCUUUUGUCAGGGUACAAAGGCGGGGACGUGUCCCCGGAUGAGUGUACCUGAAGAAAAAGCAUCGGCUAACUCCGUGCCAGCAGCCGCGGUAAUACGGAGGAUGCGAGCGUUAUCCGGAUUUAUUGGGUUUAAAGGGUGCGCAGGCGGUCUGUUAAGUCAGCGGUCAAAGCCCGGGGCUCAACCCCGGCCCGCCGUUGAAACUGGCAGU
rnacentral:rRNA from 1 species